ACUCCCGCGCGAGGCGGGCUGAGGGGGCGUUAGUGGACGGAGGACAGAAGGGUUAACUGUCUGGAAGCUUACUGAGCAAAGGUUGGGAGAUCAGUAAGUCAUGAAGGAAGGCUUUUAAAUCCAACGAUGUCAAAAUGUCAGUGACAUGAGUGAAGCCGUUUUUAGUGUACAGAGAAGACCACCCACCUGCUGACUAAGAACCUCCAGGGGGAACCUUCAAAGGCUGGUGGGCCAAAGGCACUCAGUGUUCAGUGAGAACCAUGACCUUCCAGUUCAUCCUGCAUCCCCCUCUGUCAACCGGGUCUGCCAUCUCCAUAGAAGUAACCAAUCCGCUGAACUGUGGGCUCUGUUCUUGGAGCUCUUGCCGUCUGUGCCUCCCACCACCCCUGCCUUCUUCAGAGUUUUCUUUCCCUUAGAAGCACACUGGCCCCCAAGGAGAGGAGGUGGAAGUCACCGAGUCCCACAGCUGUUCCCGUGCACGUGCACUUAUGUAUACUGUGUGUAACAUGGACAGAGUUCUCCACUGUGAACAAUGAAACACCUGAGGCCAAAGAGAGGCACCUGAGUGGAAGAAGCCCAGCAAAUCGGACCUCGGAGAGGCUGUUUUGGACACCCCACCUUGCCUAGGAGUUUGAGCCUGUGUCCCUCCCAGCUCUGCCGCAUCUCAGCUGCGUGGCUUGGGAUCUUACUUUCUUCAUCUGUACAGCAUUGUUGAGCCACAUGAUCUCCGAGUCCCUUCCAAGUUCCCAAAUCUGUAAUUUCAGUGCAAGCCUGUUUUACAUAUGUUCAUUUUCCGAAGAGUGAGAGUCCUCUGAACUUGAGCAAUGAAAGGCUUUAAAGUCCUGGGAUUAGUGGAAGGGGGAAGGUUUUUCUGCAAGGACAGCUCCUUUCUUUGCAUACCAAUCUGGAAUUCAUUGCUGACUAAGAGCCAGCAUCUGCCUGAUAAGUGGAAUUAUGAUUUCCUUCCUCUUUCUUCCUAAACCACAGUGGGAAAUAAAGUCACCCCAUGGGGAGGAAAGGAGAAAAAUCACUCAAACCACGAGACAAUUUCAGCUAAUAGUAAGAAGUUGUUGCCAAAACAUAAAGGAAGAUGAAAUAAGAUGAAUCUUCGUUUGGUCUUUAUAAUUUUGAUAGCAAUUCUGUGGGAGAAAAAUGUAUGUACAACAUAAAUAGGAGCCAUUCUAUAGUUGAGUCAAAUUCUUUUUUCCCAUGAAGGUUACGAGUGAUUUCACACAUUUAGAUUGUGGUUGGCCACUGUAGUGGAGGGGAGAAAGUGGGCCAGCAAGCUCAGAGAGCAGGUUAUAUUCAGUGAGAGUGAGACAGCACCUUGGAGUAUAAAUUCUUCCUACAGCCGAGAAAACUGAGACCUAGGGAGUUGUCCAAGAUUAUACAAUGUGUGACGCAGCCUACGCAGAGUUCAGGGUUCUGCCC